AGCUCCAAUAGCGUAUACUAAUGUUGUUGCAGUUAAAAAGCUCGUAGUCGGAUUUCAGUUUGCUUUUGCUUUAACCUAUAUGGUUUUAGUGUGGCAUGCUUCAUGACAGAAACUUAUAUGUCAUUUAUUUGGUGUAUUUUGGGACUGUCUCAUUUACUUUGAGAAAAUUAGAGUGUUCAAAGCAGGUAAUUUGCCUGAAUAUUACUCUUGGAAUAAUAAUAUAGGACUUCAGUUCUAGUUUGUUGGUGAUCUGGGACCGGAGUAAUGAUUGAUAGGGACAGUUGGGGUCAUUCAUACUGCAAAGCGAGAGGUGAAAUUCUUGGACCUUUGUAUGAUGAACAACUGCGAAAGCAUUUGACUAGGAUGUUCCCG
rnacentral:rRNA from 1 species